UACGUAGGGUGCAAGCGUUGUCCGGAAUUAUUGGGCGUAAAGAGCUCGUAGGCGGUUCGUCGCGUCGGCUGUGAAAACCCGGAGCUCAACUCCGGGCCUGCAGUCGAUACGGGCGGACUUGAGUGUUGCAGGGGAGACUGGAAUUCCUGGUGUAGCGGUGAAAUGCGCAGAUAUCGGGAGGAACACCAAUGGCGAAGGCAGCUCGCUGGGACGUUACUGACGCUGAGACGCGAAAGCGUGGGGAGCGAACAGG
rnacentral:rRNA from 1 species